rnacentral:rRNA from 1 species
GACGAACGCUGGCGGCGCGCCUAACACAUGCAAGUCGAACGAGCGAGAGAGAGUUUACUUUUUCGAGCGAGUGGCGAACGGGUGAGUAACGCGUGAGGAACCUGCCUUAAAGAGGGGGACAACAGUUGGAAACGACUGCUAAUACCGCAUAAGCCCACGGUGCCGCAUGGCACAGAGGGAAAAGGAGCAAUCCGCUUUGAGAUGGCCUCGCGUCCGAUUAGCUAGUUGGUGAGGUAAUGGCCCACCAAGGCGACGAUCGGUAGCCGGACUGAGAGGUUGAACGGCCACAUUGGGACUGAGACACGGCCCAGACUCCUACGGGAGGCAGCAGUGGGGAAUAUUGCACAAUGGGGGAAACCCUGAUGCAGCGACGCCGCGUGGAGGAAGAAGGUCUUCGGAUUGUAAACUCCUGUUGUUGAGGAAGAUAAUGACGGUACUCAACAAGGAAGUGACGGCUAACUACGUGCCAGCAGCCGCGGUAAAACGUAGGUCACAAGCGUUGUCCGGAAUUACUGGGUGUAAAGGGAGCGCAGGCGGGAAGACAAGUUGGAAGUGAAAUCCAUGGGCUCAACCCAUGAACUGCUUUCAAAACUGUUUUUCUUGAGUAGUGCAGAGGUAGGCGGAAUUCCCGGUGUAGCGGUGGAAUGCGUAGAUAUCGGGAGGAACACCAGUGGCGAAGGCGGCCUACUGGGCACCAACUGACGCUGAGGCUCGAAAGUGUGGGUAGCAAACAGGAUUAGAUACCCUGGUAGUCCACACUGUAAACGA